GUUCACGGGUUCCGUGGGUGAGGACAUGAACGGCUCCGCAGGGCCGCCGCUCCCUGACCGCGGGCAGGUUUCCAACGUUGUUUCUCCUCCCUGCAGUUUGCGUACGGAGUCCCAGACCUGGUGCUGAAGGACAUCGCCUGCAGCGAGGCCCUGCUGGAGCGCUUCCUCAUCUUCCCCCAGCGCCGAGGCGGGCAGAUGGCGCGCGGGGCCCUGUGCUCCCUCUCCCAGGGCACCCUGCAGUGGAUGGAGGACACGCUGUAUGCCAACGUGGACUUCUUCAAGCUCUUCCAUGUGCUUCCCAAACUUGUGGACAGCGGUUCUCAAGGUAUCAAUCUGAGAUCCUGGGGGAAAAUAUUUUCUGAUAUGUCACCAAGAAUUCAAGAACUCGUCCACCGGCGGAGUGUUCAAGACUUGCUGUGGGUGACCAGGCCCCUUGUGCAGCCUGGCAGUCCGGAGACCUUCACACGGCUGGUGGGCACCCUGUCUGACCUCUUGUGUGGCUACCCAGAGGGCGGAGGCUCCCGGGUGCUCUCCUUCAACUGGUACGAGGACAACAACUACAAGGCUUUCCUGGGGGUUGACUCCACAAGGAAAGAUCCUGUCUAUUCUUACGACAAAACAGCAACGACCUUUUGUAAUGCAUUGAUCCAGAACCUGGAGUCAAACCCUUUAACCAAAAUAGCCUGGAGGGCAGCAAAGCCUUUGCUGAUGGGAAAAAUCCUCUUUACUCCGGAUUCCCCUGCAACGCGCAGGAUACUAAAGAGCGCCAACUCGACUUUUGAAGAGCUGGAGCGCCUCAGGAAGUUGCUCAAAGCCUGGGAAGAAGUAGGGCCGGAGAUCUGGUACUUCUUUGACAAGAGCGCACAGAUGACCAUGAUCCGAGACACCCUGGAGAACCCAACAGUGAAAGCCUUUUUGAACAGACAUCUUGGUGAGGACGGUAUCACUGCCGAAGCUGUGCUGAACUUCCUCUACAAGGGUCCUCGAGAAGGCCGGGCUGACGACUCAGCCAACUUCGACUGGAGGGAUAUAUUUAACGUCACUGACCGCACCUUGCGCCUGGCUAAUCAAUACCUGGAGUGCUUGAUCCUGGAUAAGUUUGAAAGCUACGAUGAUGAAUUUCAGCUCACCCAACGAGCCCUGUCUCUGCUGGAGGAAAACAGGUUCUGGGCUGGUGUGGUAUUCCCGGACAUGUAUCCCUGGACCAGCUCCCUGCCAUCCCACGUGAAGUACAAGAUCCGAAUGGACAUAGACGUGGUGGAGAAGACCAAUAAGAUCAAAGACAGGUACUGGGAUUCUGGCCCCAGAGCUGACCCCGUGGAAGACUUCCGGUACAUCUGGGGAGGGUUUGCCUAUCUGCAGGACAUGGUUGAACAGGGGAUCACGAGGAGCCAGGCCCAGGCUGAGGUUCCAAUUGGAGUCUAUCUCCAGCAGAUGCCUUACCCCUGCUUCGUGGAUGACUCUUUUAUGAUCAUCCUGAACCGCUGUUUCCCUAUCUUCAUGGUGCUGGCCUGGAUCUACUCUGUCUCCAUGACUGUAAAGAGCAUCGUCUUGGAGAAGGAGUUGAGACUGAAGGAGACCUUGAAAAAUCAGGGUGUCUCCAACACAGUGAUUUGGUGUACCUGGUUCCUGGACAGCUUCUCUAUUAUGCUGAUGAGCAUCUGCCUCCUGACAGUAUUCAUCAUGCAUGGAAGGAUCCUACACUACAGCAACCCGUUCAUCCUCUUCCUGUUCCUGUUGGCCUUCUCCACCGCUACGAUCAUGCAGUGCUUCCUGCUCAGCACCUUCUUCUCCAGGGCCAGCCUGGCCGCAGCCUGCAGCGGCGUCAUCUACUUCACCCUCUACCUGCCGCACAUCCUCUGCUUCGCCUGGCAGGACCGAAUGACGGCCGGCCUGAAGAUGGCUGUGAGCCUGCUGUCUCCUGUGGCUUUUGGGUUUGGCACCGAGUACCUGGCUCGCUUUGAGGAGCAAGGCCUGGGGCUGCAGUGGAGCAACAUUGGGAACAGUCCCACGGAAGGGGAUGAAUUCAGCUUUCUGAUGUCCAUGAAGAUGAUGCUCCUGGAUGCUGCUCUCUAUGGUUUGCUUGCCUGGUAUCUUGACCAGGUUUUUCCAGGGGACUAUGGAACCCCACUCCCGUGGUACUUCCUUCUACAAGAGUCUUACUGGCUUGGCGGUGAAGGGUGUUCGACCAGAGAAGAAAGGGCCCUGGAAAAAACGGAACCUGUAACAGAGGAAAUGGAGGACCCGGAACACCCAGAGGGAAUAAAAGACUGCUUCUUUGAACGUGAGCUUCCAGGCUUGGUUCCUGGAGUAUGUGUGAAGAAUCUGGUGAAGACUUUUGAGCCCUACGGCAGGCCAGCCGUGGACCGUCUUAACAUUACCUUCUACGAAAACCAGAUCACCGCUUUCCUCGGUCACAAUGGAGCAGGGAAAACCACUACCUUGUCCAUCAUGACGGGUCUCCUGCCCCCGACAUCUGGGACCGUGCUCAUUGGGGGAAAGGACAUUGAAACCAGCCUGGAUGCAGUCCGGCAGAGCCUUGGCAUGUGUCCACAGCACAACAUCUUGUUCCACCACCUCACAGUGGCCGAACACAUCCUCUUCUACGCCCAGCUGAAAGGGAGGUCCUGGGAGGAGGCCCAGCUGGAGGUGGAAGCCAUGCUGGAGGACACAGGCCUCCACCACAAGAGGAAUGAGGAAGCUCAGGAUCUAUCAGGUGGGAUGCGGAGGAAGCUGUCCGUUGCCAUUGCCUUCGUAGGAGAUGCCAAGGUGGUGGUUCUCGACGAGCCCACCUCUGGGGUGGACCCCUACUCCAGGCGCUCCAUCUGGGACCUGCUCCUGAAGUAUCGCUUGGGAAGAACCAUCAUCAUGUCCACUCACCACAUGGACGAGGCCGACCUCCUCGGGGACCGCAUCGCCAUCAUUUCCCAGGGACGGCUCUACUGCGCGGGCACCCCGCUCUUCCUGAAGAACUGCUUUGGCACAGGCUUCUACCUCACCUUGGUGCGCAAGAUGAAAACUGUCCAGAGCCAAGAAAGAGGCUGCGAGGGGCCCUGCGGCUGUGCCUCCAAGGGUUUCUCCACCAGGUGUCCAGCCUGUGCUGACGGUUUAGCUCCCGAACAAGCCUUGGACGGGGAUGUGAACGAGCUGAUGGAUAUGGUUCGCCACCAUGUUCCAGAGGCAAAGCUGGUGGAGUGCAUUGGUCAAGAACUCAUCUUCCUUCUUCCAAAUAAGAAUUUCAAGCAGAGAGCAUACGCCAGCCUUUUCAGAGAGCUGGAGGAGACGCUGGCUGACCUGGGGCUCAGCAGUUUUGGGAUUUCUGACACUCCCCUGGAGGAGAUAUUUCUGAAGGUCACGGAAGACUCUGAUUCAGGACCUCUGUCUGCAGGCGGCUCUCAGCAGAAAAGAGAAAACAGCAGCCUCCGACACCCCUGUCUGGGUCCUGGUGAGGGGGCCAGGCCCACUCCUCAGGGCGGGGGGCCGGCUCCUCAGCCCGAGGGCCCGCCUUCCCCCCAGCGGGAGGGGCGUGGCCGGCUCAACACGGGAGCGCGGCUGGUCCUGCAGCACAUGCAGGCGCUGCUGGUCAAGCGGUUCCAGCACACCGUCCGCAGCCACAAGGACUUCCUGGCCCAGAUUGUGCUCCCGGCCACUUUUGUGUUUUUGGCUCUGAUGCUUUCCGUCAUCAUCCCUCCUUUUGGCGAAUAUCCUGCUUUGACCCUUCACCCCUGGAUGUAUGGGCAGCAGUACACCUUCUUCAGCAUGGACCAGCCGGACAGCGAGCGGCUCGUGGCACUUGCAGACGUCCUCGUGAACAAGCCAGGCUUUGGCAACCGAUGCCUAAAGGAAGGAUGGCUUCCGGAGUUCCCCUGUGGCAACUCAACCCCCUGGAAGACCCCCUCUGUGUCCCCAGACAUCGCCCACCUGUUUCAGAAGCAGAAGUGGACAGCAGACCAGCCCUCGCCUUCCUGCAGGUGCAGCACCAGAGAGAAGCUCACCAUGCUCCCCGAGUGCCCCGAGGGCGCCGGGGGGCUCCCGCCCCCUCAGAGGAUGCAGCGCAGCACUGAGAUUCUCCAAGACCUCACGGACAGGAACCUCUCUGACUUCUUGGUGAAAACGUAUCCUGCUCUUAUACGAAGCAGCUUGAAGAGCAAAUACUGGGUCAACGAACAGAGGUACGGAGGAAUUUCCGUCGGAGGAAAGCUCCCAGGUCUCCCCAUCACUGGGGAAGCACUUGUUGGAUUUCUAAGUGACCUUGGCCAGUUAAUGAAUGUGAGCGGGGGCCCUGUCACCAGAGAGGCCUCUAAAGAAAUGUCUGCGUUCCUUAAACAUCUAGAAACCGAAGACAACAUUAAGGUGUGGUUUAACAACAAAGGCUGGCAUGCCCUGGUCAGCUUCCUCAACGUGGCCCACAACGCCGUCCUCCGGGCCAGCCUGCCCGCGGACAGGAACCCCGAGGAGUAUGGCGUCACUGUCAUAAGCCAGCCCCUGAACCUGACCAAGGAGCAGCUCUCAGAGAUCACAGUCCUGACCACGUCGGUGGAUGCCGUGGUGGCCAUCUGCGUGAUUUUCGCCAUGUCCUUCGUCCCCGCCAGCUUUGUCCUUUAUUUGAUCCAGGAGAGAGUGAACAAAGCCAGGCACCUCCAGUUUAUCAGUGGAGUGAGCCCCACCACCUACUGGCUGACCAACUUCCUCUGGGACAUCAUGAAUUACUCCGUGAGCGCGGCUCUGGUGGUGGGCAUCUUCAUCGGGUUCCAGAAGAAAGCCUACACGUCUCCAGACAGCCUUCCAGCCCUUGUGGCCCUGCUCAUGCUGUACGGGUGGGCCGUCAUCCCCAUGAUGUACCCAGCAUCCUUCCUGUUUGAUGUCCCCAGCACAGCAUACGUGGCCCUAUCCUGUGCUAACCUGUUCAUCGGCAUCAACAGCAGCGCCAUCACCUUCAUCUUGGAAUUAUUUGAGAACAACCAGACGCUGCUCUGGUUCAAUGCCAUGCUGAGGAAGCUGCUCAUUAUCUUCCCCCACUUCUGCCUGGGCCGGGGCCUCAUUGACCUGGCGCUGAGCCAGGCCGUGACAGACGUCUAUGCCCGGUUUGGUGAGGAGCACUCUUCUAAUCCGUUCCAGUGGGACCUGAUUGGGAAGAACCUGGUUGCCAUGGCAGCAGAAGGGGUGGUGUACUUCCUCCUGACCCUCCUCAUCCAGUACCAAUUCUUCUUCAGCCCAUGGACCACCCAGCCAGUGAAGGAGCCCAUCAUAGAUGAAGAUGAUGAUGUGGCCGAAGAAAGACAAAGAAUUACUAGUGGAGGAAAUAAAACUGAUAUCUUAAGGCUAAAUGAACUAACAAAGGUUUAUUCCGGCGCCUCCAGCCCGGCGGUGGACAGGCUAUGUGUGGGAGUCCGCCCUGGGGAGUGCUUCGGCCUCCUGGGAGUGAACGGAGCUGGCAAAACAACCACAUUCAAGAUGCUCACUGGAGACACCACAGUGACCUCAGGCGAUGCCACAGUAGCAGGCAAGAGUAUUUUAACCAAUAUUUCUGACGUCCAUCGAAGUAUGGGCUACUGUCCUCAGUUUGAUGCAGUUGAUGACCUGCUUACAGGGCGAGAACAUCUCUACCUCUAUGCCCGGCUUCGAGGCGUGCCAGCAGAGGAAAUCAAGAGGGUAAAACAGGGUUUGUUGUGGCCACUCGAGUUUGGUAAACCAUGAACCUGCUUCAUGAGAGUGCAUAUAUUUAGAGAUGGGAAAGCUCAAGCACACUGUCCAUUCAUUCACUCAGCAAAUGCUUACUGAGUGUCUGCUAUGUGCUAAGUACUAUUCUAGAAAACGGGGGUGAACAAAACAGAAGAAAAAAUUCCUGCCCUCGUAUCUAACAAAACUGACAUCUGCAUUCACCCUUUGAUCCAACAGUCCCACUUCUGGGUGUUUACCCUGAAGGCACACCUCCCACAGCACAAAAUGCAUAUGCACAAGGUUACUCACUGCAUUUUAGUCACAAAAUAUUGGAAAUUAGCUAAAUGUUCAGGCAUAGGAAAGUGGCUGAAUAACUGAUGGUAAAUAUAUACAAUGAAGUCUUAUGCAGUUAUUAAAAAAACAAAAACAAAAACAAUAAAAAUCUCUGAACUGAUACAGUUAUUUCUAGGAGACAUUGUUAAGUGAAAAAAGCAAAGUACAAAGGAGCACAUGUAGAAUGCUACUAUUUAAUGUAAGAAAGAAAAGCAAGAAAGCAUAAAUACGCCCGUUAUCUUCACAAAUAGAAAUGCAGGAAGGAUAAGCUGGAAGACUGACUGCGAUGAUCAGCAAGAGGGAAAUGAGGUGAAAGGAAAAUGGAAGGGGUAACGCUUCUCUCAGGAUAUUUUUGGUUUAGUUUAAACUUCUGGAAGCAUGUUAAUGUUCUACAUAUUCAAAACACAAAACUAAAUCGAUAAGAAUGGGAAAGAGGUAGAAGUGAAGACAGAAAAUCCUGACACGGAAAGCAAACAAAGCAAGGUAAUCCGACUUUUAUUUCAAACGAAUGUAACCGUCAGACAGACGGGAGGAAAGAACUAACGCACAUAACUGAGGCAGCAGAAUUUGACUGUGUGUCUUCAGUCCUGGGAAGAUUUUGUAUGAAAAGCAAGAUAUUUGUAUGGCGUGAAAGUGUCUCCCGCAGACUGCUGACGGGCUGUGGGGGGAACAGGGGAGGAGUCAGACAGCACCUCAGCUGAGGGACCGAAACUACCACCAGCUCUGAGGGGCACAUGCUCGGACGUGACCCCCUGAGAAGGACACAGCUUCAUCUGGUAAUAUUCUGAUUGGGACGCACAGCCUGAACCUUGUGAGGGAACAUUGGACAAGCUCUACAGGAACAUUCUAUUAAGAAAUAUAUAGGGGUCAUAUUCUUCAAAAUUAUCAAGAUCAUAAAAGACAGAAUGGCAGAGAAAGGGUAGGGAGGGGUUCCUGAUCCCAGGAAGCUGAGUGGACACAGUGUGGCUGAGUGAUGGACACCAGACCGCAGCUUGUGCUGGAGGGAAAAUGGCGCUGUGAAGGGCACCCCUGGGCGGUUGGACAGAAGCAGGCUGCAGAAGGCGGUGACAGACUGGAGUAUUCAGAGCCUGGGCCUGUCCCUCUACGCGGACCGCCUGGCCGGCACCUACAGCGGAGGCAAUAAGCGGAAACUCUCCACGGCCAUUGCGCUGAUAGGCUGCC